CAGUCCAGCUCCGGUAGACGAAAUAGCUCCCAACGUAGCUUACGAUCCAACGCUAUUGAGGCUCUACUGUACACGUAUAACCAAUGUGGUAUCUCCUCGUUUAGAUAUGGAUUGGCAGGUACCAGGACGCUGUGAGAAUGAAAGUAAACCCUCCUUCUCGAGUGGGUGAGACCAGUGCGUAGUCUUGGUAUUGUGAUCGAUGUAAUACUUCCGGCCCCUGAGCGUGAAGUCGACCGACCAUCCCGGUGGCAGAGGCAACUCUUCUUGCUGCUGUUCGCAUCGAGAACUCGAUCUCUCUGAAUGACAUCUGCUGUAGCUUCCGGAAAUCAAAACAGGAAAAUAAUGAUCAUCUUCACUUGUAAUCGAUCACUACGAUUUAAAAGCUAUCGAAAUCACGUCGAUUUCAAUUUACGAAAUUUGUUAACGCACUCUUUUGCACGUCGAAUGUUAUAAAAUAAAGUUUUAUUUGAAAUGACACGUUACUCACUACUUCGUGAAUAAAUAUACAUGUUUGAUA